AGUGAACGCUGGCGGUAGGCCUAACACAUGCAAGUCGAACGGCAGCACAGGAGAGCUUGCUCUCUGGGUGGCGAGUGGCGGACGGGUGAGGAAUACAUCGGAAUCUACUUUUUCGUGGGGUAUAACGUAGGGAAACUUACGCUAAUACCGCAUACGACCUACGGGUGAAAGCAGGGGCUCUUCGGACCUUGCGCGAUUGAAUGAGCCGAUGUCGGACUAGCUAGUUGGCGGGGUAAAGGCCCACCAAGGCGACGAUCCGUAACUGGUCUGAGGGGAUGGUCAGACACACUGGAUCUGAGACAUCGUCCCGACUCCUACGGGAGGCAGCAGUGGGGAAUAUUGGACAAUGGGCGCAAUCCUGAGCCAGCCAUGCCGGGUGGGUGGAGAAGGCCUUCGGGUUGUAAAGCCCUUUUGUUGGGAAAGAAAUCCAGCUGGUUAAUACCCGGUUGGGGUGACGGUACCCAAAGAAUGAGCGCCGGCUAACUUCGUGCCAGCCGCGGCAGUAA
rnacentral:rRNA from 1 species